rnacentral:rRNA from 1 species
GCAAUGCCGCGUGUGUGAAGAAGGCCUGCGGGUUGUAAAGCACUUUUGGAGGGGAAGAAGGUCUUUUGGUUAAUACCCAAAAGAUAUGACGUUACCUUAGAAUAAGCACCGGCUAACUCUGUGCCAGCAGCCGCGGUAAUACAGAGGGUGCGAGCGUUAAUCGGAAUUAUUGGGCGUAAAGAGCUCGUAGGCGGUUUGUCGCGUCGACUGUGAAAACCCGCAGCUCAACUGCGGGCCUGCAGCCGAUACGGGCAGGCUAGAGUUCGGUAGGGGAGACUGGAAUUCCUGGUGUAGCGGUGAAAUGCGCAGAUAUCAGGAGGAACACCGGUGGCGAAGGCGGGUCUCUGGGCCGAUACUGACGCUGAGGAGCGAAAGCGUGGGGAGCGAACAGGAUUAGAUACCCUGGUAGUCCACGCUGUAAACGUUGGGCGCUAGGUGUGGGGGGCCUCUCCGGUCCUCUGUGCCGUAGCUAACGCAUUAAGCGCCCCGCCUGGGGAGUACGGCCGCAAGGCUA